GUAGCCUAACACUAUGUCACAAUGCCUUCAUCAUUCACCUCAGUUCAUCUCACCAAGUAAGCAUUUUAUCAUCUCAUUAUCACCACAAAGAUGCAUGAUGAAAUGUAUGAAAUGAUAUAAUGUCUGGGAUUUGCUUGAAAAUAAUCACAGCUGUGGGAGGAAGUAAGAAUACAGACAAAACAACAAACAAGAUUGGGCAGGAGCUGACCGUUGUUUAAGAUGAUCACAGGAUUAUGAAGACAAAAGGGGAAAAGAAAGAGAAGAAGAAGAAGCAAAACAGCAGCAUCAAAAACUCUCCUGAAAAGAUACAGAGUUGAAAGAAGCAAGCAAUUUCAGCUGCUGCCCAACACAGGAGAAAAAGUUUGGAGCCCAGCUAAGUUAAGUACCAUUAAUACCAAAAGUCAAUAUGAUUUCAGAGGAAGAUAAUAGAAUUCAGUCUUUACACCAUAGCUCCCAAAAUGCACAGUAUAAGAGUCAAACUUACUAGAUCCAUAAUGAAACGGGGAAAUGUGACCACUAGUAAAGAGAAAAAACAGUCAACUGAAACCAAACCCACAGUAACCCACAUUUAGAAUAAUCAGAAGACUAUUAUAAACUUUUUAAAACAUGUUUAAGGAUUUAAGAGAAAAUAUGGUCAUAAUAAAUGAACACACAGGUAAUCUAAGCAGAGAAUAAAACAAGGGAACAACAUGGAAAAUCCAGAAUUAAAAAGUAUAAUAUCUGAAAUAAAAAAUUCACUGGAUGAACUUAACAGCAGACUGGUGAUGGGUCAGUGAACCUGAAGACAAAGAGAAAUUAUCAAAUCUGCAGACGAAAAAAAAAGAAAAAAGAAACUGCACCUCAGUGACCUCUUGGACAAUAUCAAGAAGUCUAAUGUGAAACUGGAAGAAAAGGAGAAUGGGACAGGAAAAAAGUGAUGAAAGAAAAAUAUAUCAAGCCAAGAUUCUAUAUCCAGUGAAAAUAUACUUCAAAAGAAGGACAGAAUAAAGACAUUUGCAGAAUAAUGGAAACAAUAUUCAUCACUAGCAGACCUGUGCUAAGAGAAAUGCUACAGAAAGUUCUUCAGGCUCAAGGGAUGUAACGUGGAAAUCUGAAUCUAAAGUAGUAAAUGUCAAGAAGGGGCAGUUUUGUCCCACAGGGGACAUCAGGAAAUGUCUGGAGGCAUUUUUGUUUGUCACAAAUGGAGGUUGCUACGGGCACCUGAAUGCUACUGGAUAAACAUCCUGUUAAACAUCCGACCAAGCACAGGACAGCCUCCCAUAACAACAACAAAAAAAUCAACCUACCCUAAAAUGUCAAUAGUGCCAAUGUUGGUAAAUCUUCAUCUAUGGGUAGGAAAGAACAAAAAUAUAUGAGCAAAUUGAAACCAACCCAAUAGUCCCACAGACUGUUCUUUUGGAUAAACAGUGAAAUUGAUCUUUCUGGUCUUAAAGCUUGAAGCUUACAUUUGUUUUAUCUCAGUUCCUUCCUCAGGAAGGGACCUUCAUGGCUCUCAAAAAAAUGUGUCAAAGAACUGAAACUCACCAGAUCACCACAUCCAGACAAUGAGACUAGACUCUGGACCUCUCAUUCAUCAUGAUUGCUUCCUUGACCCUCCCUAGUUCCUAUUUUCUUACACAUUGUUACAUUUUUUUCCUUGCUAUAUAAACCCCGAGUUUUAGCCAGUCAGGGAGAUGGAUUUGGGACUGAGCUCCGAUCUCCUCAGCUGCAGCACCCGAUUAAAGCCUUAUUCCUUGGCAAUACUUGUCUCAGUAAUUGGCUUUCUGUGUGGCGAGCAGCAGGACCUAGACCAAACCCCUAGUGAUUCCGUAACAGAUUUUGGUUAGUUGACAGGGAACAUGUUGCUUGUGACUCAGCUGAUGUGGGCAGGGAGUCUCAGAAGCCAUCCUAAGCAGCUGCCCACCCAAUUUUGGCUGAAGGUGAGUGUCAGUCUCUCUCUGGCCCCACCACAGCCGGCCCCAACCACAUUCCUGAUUGCCUCACUAGAACUGCCUUUGAAACUUGACAUUGCAUCAAUAUAGAGUCUGGAGAAUAUGUUCCUUUUGAGCUAUAUAUAGCCUUGAUAUAUACUUUAAGUGUAUUGAGUAGAGGAUACUUUUAUAAGUAGAAUUUGAGGCAUAUUUCUCUCUCUGCCUAAUUUCUCCAGAAUUUGGAAACUGUGAAUAUUCUUAAUUCAUGGAAAAUGUGUUUGUUUGCAUACAUUUAAUAAAAACCUGUUUUCUUUUGUAAUGGGACACAGCCAGAGGAACUGGCUAUUUUCCUAGGACUUUGACUCAAAUGACCUUGUGAAAUGUUCCAGCAAAGCCAAUUUGGAAGAAUCUAUGGGCAAUGAUUCUUGUCGCACUGUGUGCGGGUAAUCAGGCCAAGUAUAUGGGACUGAAGAUUAUUUUGCAGGUAGAUUGGUAGAAGCUUAUUUUGCAGGUAGAUCCUGCUGUGGUUUGUCUUUGGUGGAAGUGGUACGCCAGAGAGAGAAAUACUAUGUGUCAGAAGAAACUCUCUAUUAGAUGAACCUUUGAUUCCUGGGUGGCUACAUAGUCACCUAUGGUAUGGAGCUGCCUAUGACACCCUUCCUCAGCAUGAAGCAGCCAGAAAGACCAAUGACUGGAUUCCUCAUGAUUGAGGAACUGAUAAAUAGAAAGGGAAGACUGAAACUGACCCAACAGUCCCAUAGACUGUUCUUUUGGAUAAACACAGAAAUUGACCUUUCUGGUCUUAAAGCUUAAAACUUUCGAGUUUUUCCUCAGGAAGGGACCUUGGGACCUCUCAAAAAAAUGUAUCGAAGAACUGCAACUCACCAGAUCACCACAUCCAGACAAUGAGACUCUUACCACGUAUUCAUCAUGACUGCUUCCUUGCCCCUCCCUAGUUCUUGUUUUCUUACACAUUGUUACGUUUCUUCCCUGCCAUAUAAACCCCUGGUUUUAGUCAGUCAGGGAGACAGAUUUGAGACUGAGAUCCUAUCUCCUCAGCUGCAGCACCCAAUUAAACCCUUCUUCUUUGGC